GUCUAACAGUCACAAUGAAUCCUUCACACAUGACCAAGCUAUUCUUUGUUUCUCAUCGUCUCCUACAGCGUUUAUCCUAAGGUUCUUCCAUGUGUAUAAUUUCCCAGAAAAUUUAGUACUUAAUAUUCUGAUGGUUUCCACUACAUGUUUUGUCUCCCUACUGAGACAGUAAGUGAUUCAAGGGCAAAGUCUUUGCCUUACACCAUUUUUUAAUCUUCCAAUGCUGAGCCCACACAAGGUGCUAAAUAAAUAGAGCAGUAGUUCUUCAUGUGGGGCGGAGGUGAGGGAUCACAUCAGAAUCACAUAGGGAGCUUUGAAAAAUCGAGGCACACACAGAAAGACCCAUAUAAUUCUUAAGGUAUCAGAUUUUAAAUUUUUAUUCAUAUUAUUUAUAUUUCCAAUGGUAAUUUUGGCAUGCCUUUUCAAGAUCUAGUAUCUUAAAUAUAGGAACUUGGCAUAUAAAGGCAGCUCCACAAAACCAAUAGGUAAGUGAUGGAUUAUUUUGUAGCAAAUAAUAGGAAUACUGGCUCACUUAUUUGGAGGGGGAAAAAGCUGAAUCCCUCAAUUAAAUCAUGUAGAUUCAUUUAUUUAACUGAAUUCCACACCAUAUGCCAAGCACUCUUCUAGAUUUUGAGGAAACAAGACUGAGCAAAAGAGACAGUGAGGUGCUGGUCUCAUGAAGCUUUCAUCUUAGUGGGGUUCUAUGGACAAUUAACUUUCACAUACACAUAUAUAUGUGUAUUUAUAUAUAUAUAUAUAUAUAUAUAUAUAUACACACACACACACACACACAUACAUAUUAUUUCAGUUUUCCCUAGUGAGAAUGCUAUAAAGAAAAUGAAAGCAAGAUAAGGGAAUGCGGGGAAUGUUCUUUUAGAUAGGGAAAGCCUAUCUGAGAAGGUGACACCUGGGCAGAAAUUUUAACAAAAGGCAGAAGUGGGGCAUGAAGCAAUCUGAGAAAAGGGCAUUCUGGGUGAAGGAGGACAUUCUGGGUGGAGGAAACAAGUGACUGUAAAAGUCUUCAGGCAGAAAGGAGCUUGCUUGGCUCUUUGAGGAACAACACAAAGGCCAGGGCUUGGAACAGAAUGAGUGAGUGGGAGUGUAUUAGGAGAGUGGUGGGGGAGGGAUGUGUCUUUGUCCUUGAUGGUUGAGAGUGGAAGUUGGAGAGUGAGCUGGAGAAAGGUGAGGGACUAACAAAAUCCAGAAAUGGAGACAGAGACUUCUCCAGAUGUGUGAGUGGCACAUCUAACCCAUCAUAGGAAGGCCACUAGACUCCAUUAGCAGAUGUUAAUUCUCAUGCCUCAGACUUGAAGCUGAGUGAUAUGACUAAUGGUAUUGAGCAGGGUGUGGUGAGUGCUGCUAAGCAUGGAGAGAUCUUGGUGGCUGUCUUUGGGCUGCUGUAACAAAAUACCACAGAUUAGGUGGCUUAUAAACAACAGAAAUUUAGUUCUCACAGCUCUAGAGGCUAGAAGUCUGAGAUCAGUGUGCCAAUGGUCUGGUGAGGCCCCCUUCCAGGUUGCAGACUUUUCAUUAUAUCCUCACAUGGAAGCAUGGGCUAGGGAGCUCUGUGGGGUCUUUUAGAAUAGCACUAAUCCUAUUCAUGGGGCUACACUCUCAUGAUCUAAUCACCUCCCAAAGAUCCCGCCUACUAAUUUUGUCAUCUUUGGGGAUUAGGGUUUCAACCUAUGAAUUUUAGGGAACACAAACAUUCAUACCAUAGCAGUGUUCAAAAUAGAUAAGCGAAAAAUAGUUCCUCACAGUGGGCACUGUGUAAGCUGAUGUGUCUUGGGAAAACAACUCUGGGUAUGGCAGAGAUUGGCUUAUAUGAGGACCAGAGUGUUUCCCAGGACACUCUCUGCACAGGAGUAUGGAUCAUCUUCCCCUUGGUGAAAGUUCCACUGGGGUAGAGUGUGGAAUAAUGGGGUUCUGAAAACCCCUCACCGCUUUUAUUCCUGCCUCUUUCUUGGAAGUGUUUCUUUCAGUACAAUUAAGUGUGAAAAUUAUGCUUGGAUUGGCAUCCCAUAUAGGCAAGAUUUUAAAGACUUGAGAGACCUAAGCCUACUUAGAUGCUAUAGGUCUACUCCCACACUUGUAGGAAUAGGCUCAUUCAAUUGUAGAUUAUAGGUGCUGGUAAGUCUGAAAUUUGUAGGGUGGGCUAGUGGGCUGGAAGUUCAGGUGAGAAAUGAUGUUGCUGUCUUUUGUCCUAAUUUUCCAGGCAACAUGCUGGAAACUCAGGCAGGGUUUCUAUGUUUCAGUCUUUUUUUAAAAAAAAUUUUAUUUAUCUGUUUGUCUGUCUAUCUGUCAUCUAUUUAUCUAUCUAUUUCUCUGUGUCUUUAACAUUUAUACUCAUUUUUCCAGCUUUACUGAGGUAUAAUUGAAAAACAUUGUAUAUAUUUAAAGUAUACAAUGCGAUGAUUUGAUAUAUGUAUAUGCUGUGAAAUGAUUAUCAUAAUCCAGUUAAUUAAUACAUCCAUCAUCUCAAUGGUUACCUUUUUUUUCCCCCCUGUGGUAAGAAUGCUUGAGAUCUACUUACUCAGCAAAUUUCAAGUAUACAGUGCAGUCUAUGUUGUGGUCUUGAGGAGAAUUCCUUCUACUUAGGGAACUUCAGUCUUUGCCUGUAAGGCCUUCACUGGUUAGAUGAGGCCCAUCCACAUUAUGGAGGGUAAGCUGAUGAUUUACUUAAAGUUUACUGAUUUUCCCAAUUAUUUACUUGUUAUUUACUCAUUUACUCAUUCACUGGUUUACUGAUUUUCUUAUUCAAAGUCUAUAUCUAAGAAAUGCCUUUACAGAAGUAUCUAGACUGGUGUUUGACCAAACUACUGGGCACCAUAGCUUAGCCAAGUUGAUACAUAAAGUUAACCAUUACAGAGCACUAAACUGCCUUAUAUAUUAAAAUGAACUAGGUCUUCCUUGGGUAUAGAGAUGGUUCUUUGGAUGUGCAGUAUUAAGAAAGUAGUUCAGACCAUCAUCUCUGGUGUCGGACUCCUAGGUUUUGAAUCUUACCUUUACCACUUAACCAGUUAGCUAAACCUUGGAUAAUUUACUUAAUAUAUUUGUGCUUUAGCUACCCCAUCUAUAAAAUAUGAAUAUAAUAUUAUUCAUCUCAGUAGGCUAUUAGGAGUAUUAAAUGAAUUAAUGCAGAUAAAGGGCCUAAAACAGUGUCACAUUGAAGUGAUCAGUAAAUGUGAGCUAUAGUUAUGAACAUAAUUAUCAUUAUUAGAUGGUUUUAGGGACAAGGACUGGGGGCCCAGGAAUUAGGCAAAGACAAAUCAGUGGAAGGAAAUCUGAUAUGAGCAAGGGUAGACCUCAGCAACAGGGCCAGGACUCAGGAGAGAAAGGGUUAGUGAAGGUACGGAAUGGGUUAUAGCUAGUCCAUUUUAGGAAUGUUUAGGUUUUCUUUUUCAGUACUAUAAUUUCUUAUGAUAUCUCUUCAAGUGUUCAGGAAAGUCGGUUAAAUCCUACAAUCUAGUGUCAGUCAUGGUUUGCAGUUGCCUUGGGGACUAGCAGCAACCACAUGUUUGUGUUCGCAAGGAAGUGGUGUGGUAGGAAAACAAAAUAGGGACUCUGAUUAUUUUAUGUGAAUAUUAAAGGAAAGAAUGACUCUGGAAUUGGAACAUUCGGGGACAUUUCCGUUAUAUACACAUAAGCCAUUGCUUUCCAUCUGAUAUCUUGUGCACCAAGCAAGCUCACUGCUCACUGUGUGCAUUGUUGGCCUAUUUCUGUCUCUUGCUUUGUGUAGAUGAAAACAUUCCCUUUGGAUAGUUUUACUUAGAACAUAGAUAGGCAUAAUGAUAGAAGUAAAGAGGGGGACAGAUUAAAAGCAGGUGCUUGGAAUGCUAUCUUGAAGCUCUGGUCAGGCUAAAGUUGGUAGAGACAAGUGGUUCUAAAAAGUGGCCAAAUGACCUUGAGCACAUAGUGAUGAGGCCCUGGAGCAAAGUGGGUAAACUUUAAUUACUUUCCUUAAUUUCCCACCCAACCCUGGGGAAUUCCAGGCUCAGCCUUAGCACUGGGAAAGGCCAAAUUGACAUUGGUCAGACUUGAGCACCUUGCAAACAGCUAUCACAAGCCAAGUCACUGGUGCCUGGCAAGGAAAUUAGCAUUUAUCGCAUUUCAGUAAAAAUGAUGUGGCCCAGUUAAAUUAGAUUUCCUUUCAUUUACAAUAGACUUAAAAUCUUAUUUAGCUAUAAUCCAGCCAUUGUAAAAUUGGUUACAAGGAUCCUAAUUUUCUGAGAUAUUGAAGCCUCCCUAUUCUAUCAGAGCAUCUUGAUUUUAUCCAUUUUCAUCCAUCGUUAAAUUUCUUAUGGCUGAGAAUGCCAGAGGCGACCUACCUUUCCAAUUCGCUGCUGCAUUCAGCAGUAACUGGAUUGAGAUCAGAAACAUUUAUUUUAUUCAAUGCCUUAUCUGCUCUUUUCCAUUAUUUUAAACACUACUGAGGGUCAAACUGAAAAUCCUUCUCUGAUUCUAACUGUAAUCAAGCAGGAAAUGGUUUUAUUUUAUAUUAAACUAAUAUCAAGCCUAGGAAGACAGCAUCAUUUCAUAUAGUGGAAUUGACUGGCCCAUUCUGCCAUUGCUGAAAAUUUACAGUUUGCAUAUCUUAGCACAAAACCUAUGCUUAUGUGACAUUUUACUUAAAAUUCUCCAAGCCUUCUUUGUACUCAAAUUGAUGUCUCUCUCAUUUGGGAGCCAGCUCAGGGUUUGCCACCUUUAGGAACCUACAGUUGCAGGUGCUCUCUCUCCUUCAUGUGAAUUCCUGCUGCUCUGAAAGUCUGUGUUACCUGUCCAGUCUAUUCAUCCACAGUAUGAUGUCCUUAGCUUACUUCUGUGUGUCUUGCCUCCCCAUCCAAGUAGGGCACUUGUGAAGCCUGAAACUAUGGCUCAAAUGGCUCCUUGUGCAUGCAGUGGUCUGGCUUUUCUGGGUUCCUGACAUUAGGAUCCUUAAAAUGUUAGUUAGAUAAUCCUAUGAGAAGCUUGUUGCUCCCUCCUUCCCUCCAGUUUUCUCUGGGCCUUAGUAACUUCCAGGGAGAUGUCAGUAGGCUCAAUAGUGCAAGGUGUGAGGUACUGUGUGAUCUGGGAGGCGGGGAUGGGGUGGAGGGGGAACAGCUGUGUCUCAUAGGCCAUGCUGGGCUCACUGGUUUCCCAGCCACUGCAGCUUCCUUCUGUGUAGAGCAGGGGUUGACUCUGCCGUGAUUACUCACUGUUCCUCCUCCCUGCCCACCCUGCAUGGUGACCGCUUAAGGCUUUCCCCUGGGGCCAUCUGCAAAGAGAUGGGAAGGGUAGGAUUGGAGCAUUUUGGGUGAACUUGGCUUGCUCUUGUUCAUAGCUGGAGACAGGGCAGCAGGCAGUGUUCACGAUCCUGACCUUGGUGGUCGAUACUCUCACAUGACCUGGGGAGCUGGCAUACACCAAAGUAUGAUGCCACCAAUAGCUGCGCAUCACUGAGGCAAGGCUAACUGAAUACAUGCUUUGAGUCCUGCUCUGUUGGAGGUGCUAGGGUUGAGAGUACAGAAACUUGUCCAAUAUGAACCCUGCAUUUGAGUUGCUGAACUCUCUACCUGGAAGGACUGAAACUGAGCCCAGUGCCAGGCCACAUAUCUCCUGGGUCCCAAAAUUCAAAGAAGAGAAAAUCUCUGUGGUCUGUAGUGGGAUAGGGAGAUGGACACAGGAGCAUCAGAGAAAAUGGAACUUUAUCUGUUUAUUAUUCAGUAAACCUAAUGAACCUCCCAUCAGCCAGAAUAUACAAAACUGAAAAUGUUCUUUCCUUGAGGGAGAGGAAGCAAGGGACAGUAACAAUGUGGUGUGGCACGAGUUGUGCUGUGGAUGUCACGAGAGCUGUGUGAGCCCCAGGCAGCUGCAGUUCGUCAGCCAAGACUUCCUGGAGCUGAAGAAGCAGAGGGCAUGAAAAAGACUGAGAAAAUGCCUUGCUUUUUCAAACUUAUUAAGAAGAAUAUCAGCCAGAGUGCCAACAGAAAGAACUGUUCAUUGUUCCAGAAAGUUUGGGUCAAGUGUUUUGUCUCUUUUUAAAACUUUGUUUCCCAUAGUCAAAUAGCCUAUUAUGAUGACUUUAUAAAGAAAGGAUCUUCUGGGUCUCUCUCUGGCCUUGGUCACAUUUUAUCGCAGAAAAUACACUGAAGGAGAAGUUAGGAGCCUAGACUGCUCCCAGUUUCUUCCCCAAUUACGUGGGAGCUGGGCAGCUAUGGUUGCAGCCCUGUGCCAGGUGUCCCCUUCAGGCAGGGCCCAUACCUCCUUCCUUCCUUUCCAUGUGUCUGUCCUACUAGAUGGCACAUAGGGUAUGGAAUGAGCUAGGAAGAGGGAGCCAUCCGCUGGAGACAGUCCUGACCUGGCCUGGGAUCUGGGCCCCCCUUUUUUGUUGUCCUUGUCUACUGACGAGCUCCUGGGUCCUGCUCAGGAAGACUUGUCAUUUCACAUUCCAUCAAUAAGCAGCCCCAUUCUCCAACAUUAGCUAAUAAUGUUGUGUCAGCAGGAUUAACAUCAGACGGCAGAGAGAGUGGUCUCAAGAUAGCUUUAUUGCUCUAGCUACCCUUGGAGUUUGUCUACAAGAGGAACACUAGGAUUCUGAAUGCAUUGAAUGUGGGGCCUCCUUCUGAGUAAUCCAACAGGACUGGAAGGGAGGCCCUCAGAGAGGAUCAGGGCUCUAUCUGGCCUAGCCAUUCAAACUCUUCUCUCUUCUACGUUCCCUAUUCUUAUAGGAGUUGGCUCCCUAAGCUCUGAAGGGCAGGGGCAACCUGGCCAGGAAGCUGUGGUAUAGCUGAGGAAAGUGACAGUGUAUUUCUUCUUCAGUGGCAGUAUGACUGAGGCAACUCCCUCUGCAUUAGUUGUGUGGGCCAGAGGCACUGUUACUAAUCGGUCAGCAUAGGGUGAGCAGCCCUCUUGCUCCUAGCCUACCAUAGAACUGCCUGCUGAGAAGGGGUCUGGGGAAGCCAUAGUGAACCACUAAGGAUAAGGGAGCUCACAGUCAGACUCAAGGGAGAAUUUCUCCCCUUUUGGUCCAAGCUUUCCUCCCUUGACUUCUUGCCACUGAGGUUUACUGAAACUCGGAUAUGCCAUUCUGAAGAUAGGCCAUUAAAGAUAAGGUAAGAUUUGAAGUCAUGGGCCAAGGACUCUUGAGUUUGUUCUCCCAGGGACACUGAAAGCUUAGUUCUGCACAAAGCUCUUGCCUAAUUUUCACUGUAGCCCUCUUGCAGUUUUCAUGGCGGUAAUUUACAAAUGGUAGAACUGAAACCCUAGAAUUGGAAUUAACCACUUGGACGUUAACAGAAGACCUUGGGUCCAACACGAUGACCUCUGUCUCAUUUAUCUGUAUAUUUCUGCCACCUGUCAGGCCAUGUGCUAUGUAACCUUGAGAAAAUUAUCUUAUCUAUUAGAACCUUAUAUGUAAAGUGGGGUGAUCAAUGCCAAUCUCACAGGGUCUGCAGAAGAGUAUAUCAGAAUAGAGUAUUUUGCCUGGUGCCUCUUAAAAUGGCAGUUAUUAUUGUAAGACUUUUAUCUUGAAGACUAAGUGACUAUAGCUACUCCUGAGGGCCAGGAUACCACAGCCUUUGAGGGUAGUGGUAGAGGGUGGGUAAGGAGGCCUGGCACCAUGCUAUUUGACCCUAUUAUUCUACUCUUUCUGGUUGACAGACUUGCUUCAGAGAUGAUUCAGCUUAGUCCAGCACCAAGGCUGCUGGGAUUCUGGAUUGUAUUCUACUGGGGCUUGCAACAAAGUCAGGGAGACACAAUGAAGGAUGUUUCCCUUUGUGUAUACAGCUGCUUCCUGGUUACAGUGGGCCAUUGUUGUGCUAAGCCACACUGGAAGGGAAGUGUAACUGAUUGGCCAAUUGAUUGUGUCUCAUGUUCUGGCCUCAGAGGUCCUGCUCUGUCAAGGUCUUCUGAGGUUUUGGGAAGUUGUCUCAAACAGUAGUUAUUACUGAUAGUAGAUGGAUUGUUGAUCUUAACUCUUUUCUCCUUCCCUGUAAUGGAAUAAUACCUUCAUGAGAUUUGCCAUGUGACUUUGGUAUACCUCCCAUUAGAGUAGGAGUCUAUGUCCCAUUGAUGUUGAGCAUGGCUUUAACCAAUAGGAUGUUAGUAUAUAUGAUGUGAGCAGAGACUUUGAAUGUGCUAGGGUUGUUUGGCCUGGCCUUUUGUGUUUCUGCUAUCUGCCAUGGAAUAACAUGCUCUGGAUAGCUCCUGGUCCACAAAGAAUUAUGAGAUACAUACAUACCUGAACUCUAUGCUUAGUCCAGAUCCAAGCCUAAUGGAGCCCAAUUGAGAUCAGCUGAAUUCCAGCCUACUCACAGACCGAUGAAGGAGAAAAAUGAAUGUUUGUUCUCAUAAGCCAAUGAGAUUUGGGGAUUGUUUGUUAUGUAGCAUUGUUUUGAAUAGCUGACUAAUGCACUGACACAUGGAUCCUCUAGUAAAGAAAGGAUCAGCAGCAGAAUGCAGAUUAGCUGAUGUAAUCCUCUUGGAGAGGGACUGAGAAUUUUCAGAACUAGAAUGCUCAAUUAUCUUUUCCCCUUGAGGAGACUAUAGUGAGCACUGGUUGGGCAUGGUUUUUCCCCUUUCUGCUUCCAGUACCCAACUUAAUGCCCUGCUCAGAGUAGAGAGUUGAUAAAUUGAAUGGAAUGAAUUGAAACAUAGCCAGGUUAGGGAGGGUUUAUUUCUGAAAAUAAGGCUUUCUGUAGGAGCAUCCAAGAUGAAAAUCAGAGAAGAGGCCAUGAUAAGGGCGGGCCUAGCCCACCCAGGGCAAGGCCAACUCCAAGAGAAAUUUUAGAAAUGCCCUGAGCCUUUGAACAACAUUGAUAGCUUCUGUUCUUUGAGAGUUGCUAGACAAUACACUUAGAAACGUAUCAUUUUCUGUCUCAGUCUGGACUGCUGUAGUAGAAUAUCAUAAACAGAGUAGUUUAAACAACAGGAAUUUAUUUCUUACAGUUCUGGAGGCUGGAGAGUCCGAGAUCAGGAUGCCAGCAAGGUCGAGUUCUGGUGAGAAUUCUCUUCCUGGUUUGCAUAUGUACAUCUUCUCGGUGUCCACAUGGGUAAGAGCAGAGAGAAAGGAAGCAAGCUCUUUCCUGUCUCUUCUUAUAAGGCUCCACCCGCAUGACCUAAUUACCUCUCAAAGGCCCCACCUGCAGAUACUAUCACAUGGGAGAUUAGAGUUUCAACAUUUGAAUUUUGAGGGGACACAAACCUUCAGUCUCUAGCAUUUUCUCUUCUAUUUUUUUUUUUUUUGAGGAAGAUUAGCCCUGAGCUAGCUACUGCCAGUCCUCCUCUUUUUUGGUGAGGAAGCCUGGCCCUGAGCUAACAUCCGUGCCCAUCUUCCUCCACUUUAUAUGUAGGACGCUUGCCACAGCAUGGCUUGCCAAGUGGUGCCAUGUCAGCACCCGGGAUUCGAACUGGCGAGCUUCAGGCCACCGAGAAGUGGAACGUGGGAACUUAACUGCUAUGCCACCAGGCCGGCCCCUUCUCUUCUAGAAACAACUCUUGACUAUGCAAUUAAAUGACCUCCCCCCUCCUUCUUCUGUGCUCUGUCCCCACUUCCCCCUCCCCGCAAAAAUAUCAGGUACCAACAAAGACUGGUUGUCAGCUGAUCCACACUAACCUGAUUUCAUAUAGAUGUGAGAAAUAAGGCUUCUCAGAGAUACUUGUAUUUUUAAAACGAAUUCUAGGAGUCGCAAAAGACUUCUCUAAGCAAAGAGAUGAAUUACCAGUAACAGACUGUCAAAAACUGUGUCCGGCUAUCAGGCUUUUUGGGUGGGAAAGUUCUGUGUGUUCCCGCUACCUCUUUACCCUGAUCCCUCUAUAUAGAUUCCCUAAAUCCUUUUGUAUUAGGGUGAGACCUGCUCAUCUGCUUCUAUGGCUCCUUUUCCUCUGUGUUUGGAAUGACACAGGGAGGCAGACAAUGAAUUGUAAAAACUGUUUCUAUUUAAAAUUUAAAAUUGCUGAGGGGUCUCAGGGCACACAUGUUUUUAAGAGUGCCUGGUUGUGCUGACAUCUGGUGUUGCAAGGUAAGGUGAUGCCUGGGGACUUCUUUAGGAGGUGGGACUGUGGAGACUGCUUCCUGCCACUUCAUCAAGCAGCCAGUCCUGAGGUCUGGAUGGACAUCAUCCCAUCCCCUUCCUCUGGCCGGCCCCUUGGAAGGACUGGACUUUUAGGUUAUUGUUUCCAGGUAAAGGCCAACUGGAAUUAACGAAGGACCAGCAUUUAAAAACAACUGUGUUACUUUCCAUUAGUGCAGGAAAGCAGCAGAAGAGUGGGAACAUUAGAUGGCAAGAGCCUAAGAUUUGGAGUCUGAGGGCUGGAAGCUCAGUGUUCUCAUCUGGGAAUCAUAGGAAAUAAAAGCUUGUCUCACAGGGUUGUUGUGAGGAUCAAGUGAGAUACAGUAUGUGAAAGCCCUCUGAGGGACAGAAUUCUGUAUAAAUAUUAGUUGUUAAUGGAGUUAUUACAGAGAUUAAUAUAAUGUAUUAAGGCUGAUGAAGUUUACUUCACCUUCCUUCCGCCAGAUGGAGUGUCAUGAAGCAAAGUAGUAGUCAAGCAGAAAUGCUCUGGUACCGGACAGCCUGAUCCUAAUCCCAGCUGCAUCGUCUACUUUCUCUCUGUGGUGGUGAUCAGAUUUAAGUGAGUCGAUACCUAAAAUGAAUACCUGAGUUUUAAUACAAAAAAGUAUUUAAACAGUGCAUGGCAGACAGUAAUCUUUCAAGAGAUGCCAACUAUUUUUUUAACUUAUUACUUUGAAAUAACCAUAAAUUUGCAGGAAGUUGCAAAGAAAUGUAUAGGGAGGUCUUGUGUGCUCUUCACCCAGUCUCCCCCAAAGCUGACAACUUGCAAAACCCAGGUUCAGUAUCAAUACCAGGAUAUUGACGUUGGUACAAUCUACAGAGCUGGUUCAGAUUUUACCAGUUUCACCUGGACCCGUUUCUGUGUGUGUAGGUCCAUGCAUAUCCUUAUGUGACCACCACCACAGUCAAGAUACAGAACUAUACAAUCACCAUAAGGCUCUCUCUCACCACCCCUUUAUAGCUACACCAGACAACCGUUUUUAAUUCGUUGAGUAGUCAUGAAACAAUUCUCAGUAGAAGUAUAUUUUUAUAGUAAGAAAUGCCUGACACUAAAUUUGUGAAAUUGUAAGCUUCCUGUCUUUGAAAGCAUUCUUUUUUUAAAGAUUUUGUUUUUCCUUUUUCUCCCCAAAGCCCCCCGGUACAUAGCUGUAUAUUUUUAGUUGUGGGUCCAUGUGGGACGCCGCCUCAGCAUGGCUUGAGUGGUGCCAUGUCCGCGCCCAGGAUCGGUACUGGCAAAACCCUGGGCUGCUGAAGCAGAGCUCAUGAACCCAACCACUCAGCCACAGGGCCGGCCCCCUGAAAGCAUUCUAAUAGAAGCUGUUCUUUAUCAGGGAUUCUUUAAAGUGGUAAUAAUAGGAGAGGGAGGGGGAUGGGGGAAAUUGAACUCUGAGGUCCCAACUCUAAGCUUCUAGAAUUAUACAGGGACGUACCCUAAAGGAGAUGAGGUUUCAAAUGCACCUUGAGGAACAGGAAGGCAAAGGGGAGAGGGGAGAAUAUACCAGCUAGACUGCAACCUGUGCUAGAUUAUGAACUGUGGCCCGGCUCUUCUCCCCUUCAGUACCCAGCUCAGGGCAGGGCUCUCAAGGCUGCUGAGAGCAGCUGACAAGAUUUCAACCCAAGGCAGGAGACUCACAAUGCCGUCAUAAAGUACAUGUGGAGGAGAGCUGAGAGAAAUUUUCUUCUUACAGCGGUAACCAAAGCCAACAAAUUAUAUUGAGAUCAGAAAUAAAUACAUCCUCUAGGAAAAAAAGAUCUUUGUCUCUGGGUGGACCAGCUGUGUGGUCAAAGCUGAAGAUGAUAUCAUGACAUCAUGGGUAACAAGCUGAAGCCAUUUCUCAUGCCCCAAACAAGGCUACACAAAGUGCUACCAGGAGACUUCACCUGACCAUCCUCAAAUUUCUGGAACCUUCUAGCUAUUGGGAAAGGCCUGGAAGAGGACAGUCUCAUGUGGCAGCCCUUAGCCUACUUGAAUGAAAUCUGACAAAUAUUGUAAAAAUACAGUCCAUUUAAAAACUUCAGUGGAUCUUCGUUUUGUUUCAGCAUAAUGGAUUGAAUCAAAUACAAGUUAUUUGCAGUGAACUUUCAUAAUAUAGGUAUUAUAUUAAUUUAGUAAAAAAAUUAGCCAUUUUCUUUACAUUUGUUUUGGGAGGGGAAUAGUAGUAAAGGGUGUUAAUAUUUAUUGAACCCUUAGAUGUGCACAGUAUAUUACACGUUAUCUUAUUUAAUCCUCAGGGUCACCCUGAAAGGAAGGUUAUUAUUAUCAUCAUUUUACAGAUAAGGAAACUGCGGUACAGAAGAGUUUAAGUGGCAUGCCUAACUCCAUGUAACUCAUCAGUGAGGAAGCCAAGAUUCAUAUCUGGGUCUCUUUCAGUAUAAAGCAGGUGCUGCUUCACCUACACUCUGCUACCUUCCAUAUAAGCCUCAACGUGAGCUCUGGCUUUAUUAGGUUGGCAAGCAUAGACUACAGACAUUUCUCUAAGAAGUCAUUUGGUUGCUCCUGGGUUCAGAGAUAUCCUAAAAGUAACUGAAACAAGGGAAGUUUUACUCCAUCAUUACACAUUCCUGGGCAGGAGAUCCUGUUUCUGGCCCUUACUUAGAACAACAAGUUGAAUUUGCAGUCAGACUAGUGAUAUUGUCAAAAUUUUUCAAACACAAAAACCUAUGACUGAUUGUAUACACUUGGGAUCGAAAUUACAUUGCUCUUUCAAAGAGCAGCCUACAAUGGCCUACCAAGAGGCCAAGCCAGUUCUGGGGGCUGUUGGCUAGAGGAUUUGAUUGUUGGUCAGAGGACACCAAAUAAGAGAUGGGAUGGUGUUGUGGGAGGGAGGGCUGGCUCUGGACAUCAGAGCUGUGAGUUCCAACAUAGAAUGGGCCGCUGUGCUGCUGUGCAAAUUUGCAAAAACUACUUAAUCCCCAUGAGCCUGUUUCCUUGUUCGAAAAUGAUGUAAAUUAUGGCAUCUACUUAAAGAAUUGUUGUCUGAGGAUUAUAUAAGUAAAGCACAUAGUAAUAUUGUUAGAUUUUAUCACUGUUGUUAUUAUUACUUGUCACUCAAAGCAUUCAGCUUUGCUGUCCUCAAUUCUCAGCACUUGCAUUAAUGUCCAAUUUCAAGUGCUGGGUAGAAUUGAAGCCUUUGUACCUGCCUCCAGAGAGGGCUAUUUAUUUUUCAUCAGUGCCUGCCAGGAACACACAACAUCACCAUUUGCCUAUCCAAAGGUACCUGAUUCUUCAGUGUUUUAUGUUACUAAAAAAGGGUCUACUUUGAAAACAGUGAGGCCUUUAGGAGAAAUUAGGUCUCGCCCUGAACUCAACUCUUUUAGAAAUUUCAAUUUACUCUGCUCUCCUCUCUGCCCUGCUUAUCUAGGAGAAGAGGCACAUUUUGGCUUUUGACUCAAUAAUGGGACUCAUAUUAAUAGGAAAGAAAGUUCAGAAGCAGAGAGAAAACUCUGGUGGAACAGAAGAAAAGCUAAAUGGAUUUUUCAAAAAUGUCCUGCAAACUCCUUUGAAUUGAUGAAGGCACAGUUGAGAAUGCCUCCCAACAUGUAGGCUUGAGGGACUGUUUUGCUUUAUAAAGCCUCAGAGAAGUUCCUCUGGCAGAAUUACCCCAAGUUGAGUAGAAAUGGAUCAAGGAAUGAACAAAAGGCUUUAACUAAGCAGUGAGGGCAGAUAAAAGCCCAGGUCCUCGAUUUGGAGUUUCUGCAGGGUCAGGCCUCUCCCUGGUUCUAUUGCUGGUUCCACGGUUGAAACCAGAGGAGAUAGCUGGAGAGUUAUGUUGUCCCGGACCAGUCACUUAUGCAAGAGGAUCACGAUUGAGAAGAGGCUCAGUAGCAUUUGAGGAAAACAAGUCAGAAGUGGAUGUCUUAGGUGGGAAAGUACUGAGAAGCAUUAACGCUGAGAGGGACAGUAGGUUAUAAAUUAGAAUGAGGCUCUAAACUAGAAAGUGCUCUUCUCUGGGAUUGACUAGCCUGUAAAACAGUCUGGGGGUGGGUGGUGAGCAGUGAGGCUUUCUGAUAGCUGGAGUUGUCUGAGAAAUAUGGACUGUCCCUCAGGGGACCACAGCCUGCUCAAAAGGUUUGUCAUGAUCCAAAUGCUCCUCAGUUCUUAGAAGGACAGUGGUGCCCAAAGGCUAGACCACCAUUCUGAAUCUUUCCUUGAGGCCACUAACCCAUUAACAAAGAAUUGUUCUGUCAUUGGUCAAGAUAAGGCAGUGGUUCCUAGCUGCUGGUCCUGUCCUAACACUGGUGGAGAGCCAAUAAAAAAAUAAGUCAUCUUACAUUUCCAGGUUGUGCCUUUUCCUUCAGGCUCCACCCUUGUCAUGGGGCAACUGUAGGCAGCAAUUGGCUCCUAAUGUGACAUGCUGGGUUUAGGGAACCAAUUCUCCAUUCCUCCGUGAGUGUUACAGAAUUCAUAGAAACCCAAGGAAGAUGCCUGUCCCCCUGUACAUUUUAUCCAGGGUCAUGAUCUUCAAAUAUAUCCUAUCUGCUCAGUCCUGUCUCCCUUCUUAACAUACACUGGUAAAAGGUUUGGACUCUGGUUCCCUCUAGCCUACCUCCUCACCUCAGCUCUCCCUUUCUACCUCAGACUUCAGAGUCCACUCCUAGCCCCUGUUUCUCAAUUUCCUAUCUAAUCCUGCUACCGAAAAUCCAUAUACAGGUCUUCCUCAUGAAGGUAAAUGACUGACAUCAUUUAAAAGCAUGGCCUUUUCUUGACGAUAUUUGCAGUUGAGCAGAGUGACAGUGUCACUAACAGACCAAUUUUUUUAUUCUUUUCUGUACCUCCUACUUCAUGGUUUCUGUUUACCACUUUGUUUCUACAAACACACCUCCAUCCUCUACUUCCACCAAAACUGAUUGCCAUCUUCUUCACUUAUUAAUUAAUCACCUGAACCAUUUUUUUUUGUCCUUGCUUUUCAUCUCUUCUUUGGUUUCAACAACUGUCUGAUAUCCCAGUGUUGGAACUGUUUCCUUUUCCCCAGUCCCUAAAAUCUUCCCAUAGGUAUCACAAUAUCCAGAUCUUCGCUGUCACUAGACAAACCUAAACACUUGAACCUAGGUUAGGAUUUUCCAGCCACAAUCUAUAUACCUUGCCCUUCUUCCCCACUUCCAUACCCAACUGAACUUUCCUCUGCCUUUAUUGGGCUUCUCAGUAGCUUCCACUCUUCAAAUAAAAUUGAAUCAACUUUGAGUUUGCCUGAAUCCUGCAUUGCCUGAGUUCCAUCACCAUUCAUGUCAAAGAUUCUCAUAUCAAUAUCCAAGACUCUUAUGUACCCUUAUCUUCCUCUGAGUCUGCCAUGCCAUCUUCUUCCUUAAAUAGUACCAUCCUUAUGAAGCUGACAAAACAAGGUCAGUGAACCAAGCAGGUCUGCAUCUCAAGGAAAGCUUGGAUUUGGGGAAGCUAUGGGUCUUUUGAGAAAUUGGGUGGCAUGAUCCCACCUGUCUAGUGUUUUGUCUUUUAAUCUUUCCAAUCCAAGACACCUCUAUCACUUGUGGAGACUCUAAGCAGGGAUUAACUGUGACUGCCACCUGGAAAGGUUGAGAGAUUUAAGUGCCCCAACUCACAAAGAGGCAGCUCAAGUGAAAUAAACAUUGUGACAUUUAAGAAGCAAAAAGAGCAUUUACUUUGGGCUGGAUGUGACAUUGCAUAUCACCAUAAUGGACUGCUCUGUGCCAACUGCAAAGUCCCAGGUGAUAAGUUAUAGCCAGUGACAGAGCAGGCCUUGAGUCCACAGACCUAUUCCUUUGGAGCCUGGUACCUGAGUUUCUUGCACUUUAUAUGUAAUUCCUUCCUCUUGUAUUUCAUGUAAUGUAUUCUUCACAGUGAGGCCAACAGGACAGUGAGUCUGCUAUGGAGGUGUCUUCAGCUCUUUUGGAAACCCCAGUGAGCUUCUAGCUUCAGGGCAUGACUUUCCUUGUGGAUUCUCAUGCCAUAGUCUUCUGGGAAAUUCAGAAUGAUCUCCCUAUUCUAAGAUGGUCAGUAUUCACCUAAAUUCAACUUGAUAUUUAGUCCUCAUUUAUGAAGCAUGUGCUAAAUUUAAAGCACUGUGCUCAGUUAUUUGGAUAUAUAGAGGAAAAAAAGACAUGGAUGCUGUCAUCAAGAAAUAAUUUAACCUAGUGAACUAGAGAUUUAUGUGCACAUACCUAUAAACAGUGAAAAGUGUAUUGAGGAAAGCUUCUUAGAGGAGCUGGCAUUUGAGCUGUGCCUUGAAGAACACAUAUUUCUAGAUGAGCAGAGAUGAGGAGGGAGCAGAGAAAGGAGAGGGAUUGGAGGAGGAGGUAACAGAGUGAGAAAAGAGCAAUGGGUAGGACUAUGAGGGCAAGACUUUGUGGAGUAUAUAUGUUUGAGGUUUGGGGGGAGAGUGAGGUGAGGCAUCAAAGGGGUUGAAUAGGCCUCAAAUUUAAUGUUCACUCAAUACAUACCAAGAGUUGUGCAAAGCACAGGUUAGCCUCUGAGAAAGGAAGAAGGAUACAACAGCUAUCCCUGCAUGGCCAGGAAGUCAAAGCCACGCAAAUCCAGGGGCUGCUUUCAGAGCUAUAAGUGUACCCAGACCUGUCCAUGGCCAUGGGUUUUUCAUUGCUUGGGUUCUCUGUUACCAUCUCUCUUUCUCUUGGCAUUCUGAAUGCUCACCCUCAGUCUUUUCUUCAUUUGUUGAACCCUGAUGAUGUGGACCAUCUGAUCCUUCCUAGUCCCCAAUUCUUGCAUAGGUUGUUGACUCUGAUCAACUUUACUGCAUCUAGUUCUCUGCCAUGUGAGUGGUGACCUAAUCCUUCUUUGCUCUGGCAGCCCUGAGUGAAGUUUGUCUUCAUAUAAAUACAGACAUAUUUUGCCUUGGUAAUUCUUGCUUCUGCUGCAUGUUUUUCCCUCCAGGCACUUACUUUUUUGUCAUGUAGGCACCCAGUUUCAAUGCCUGGGGUGGCUUUCAGUGUUAUGGAUACACCAGGAAAAAAAAACAACACAAGAACUGUCACAAUCAAGAGUUCCGACUUCAAUGAGUAAUGAAGUUGCAUGAAUUCCAACUCGUGGUUCCAAAGGAUUUCCAUAAGCCUCUUGAUUUCCAAAUGAGAAAAUCAUGAUAAGCAGUUAAUUAGCUCUUUAAGCAAAGGCAAGCCGUCUCAGACACUGCUGUGCACUCCACACUCUUGGGAGAGGGAGGCCAGUACCACAUCCUGACAAACAUGCAGUGCAAGCAUGAAAAUGGAGUUCAUAUAAAUUCAAGUAAUGUCCUUUGACUUUUCAUUAAGCCAGGCAUGUCCCAGUUACCCCUUGGGGACUUUCUUAACGUUAUCAUGGCAACAUACAAUUAAGUCAGAUUACAUUUUUUUAUAUGCAGGGAGAGGUGCUAAGAUACCAUUCUAAAUUAUUCAGCAGUUCACUUUUCACAAAACAACCCCAGAUAUAACUUUAAGAUGUGCAAUAUUAAAAAAUACCAGAUAAUUUGAUAUUGCUAUAUCAUGUAAAGAAGACUUUUUUCCUUUCCCCAGGGAGAACAAAAGACUUAAUCGAACUCCACAAGCAUAGCUGUGCUUAUCACAGCUUACCGUAUUACUCUGAUUUAUGUGGCAGAUUGUGAACUCCUUGAGAAUUAACAGAAGUUUCUUCCUUAGGGCCAGAAUAUUCUUAUUUCAGCAUUGUAAAGCCAGGGACAGCUUUGAAAAGGAGCUAAAUCAUUUUUCUCUUUCUCCCCCUGACACCCCACACCUCCUAUGUGUGGUGUAUGUAGAUUUGAUCCUUAGUUAUCAUGUCACGGUUCCUAAGGAGUCUUAAGGAGACUGAUUAUAUAAAGGCACCUUUAGAAGGGCAUCAUCUUGGUGAGCCUUAAAGGCUCCUCUUAGUCUUCAGAACAAGACCCCUGUAUCAAAGGAGGAAGAAUGAAUUGGGGUGCUGAGUUAUACAGCUAGAGGCCAACCCAAGUGGGAUAGGACUUAGUGUGGGGAAACACUCUUUUAUGGGUCACUGGUGCUCCUAUGCAUCUUGCUAAAUAUGCCAAGAUUGGAAGGUCCUGACCACUCUUUAUCUGGACAAUUUUUCAAGGUUUGUUUGUAGCAAAUAACUUGAGGGAUGAGGUAACAUCUCCUCCAAGAUAGAGAGCAGGUCUCUUUACACACUGCUAUAGAGCGAUGGCUUCCUUAGGUUCAGUAUUCCUUACUUGUAAUGCAACCUCCUUCCUGCGCAUCCAUCUAGGUUCACCUGCACUGCCCCUCAGGGAACUGGGGCCAGUGACCCUGCUGAGGCUUGGCUAAUGCUUUUGAGUAACAAAGGCUUUUAUCUCUGACUCAAGAAAGCAUCCAUGAAAUUCUGGCAAGUUAACUUGUUAGCUUGCAAGUAGGGUAACAUAGCAGACCCUUUAUAGACCUUGAUGGUUAAUAUGUAAUGCUUGUGGUUGCUUUCUCCUUUCCCUGUCUGAUCUGAAGAUAUAGUUCUUCUUGUUUGAGAUACCCUUUUCUACUGCACAGAGUCCUCAUAUUUAAGCCAAAAUCUGAGUAGAAGCCUUCUUUCUUAAGAUCUCAAGAAGCGUAGACUGUCAUGACUUCUAAGAGGUAAGAUACCAUGCAUAAAUCCCUAUUGUGCCAAGCCUCUCUAUAACUGAUGUACUUGAUAAGUCUUGACUUAUUAACCCUUUGUGGGCAAGAUAGGCAGAAUCUUUGAUGUGUGGUAAGUGGUUGCUGCCUGGGUCUUACAUGUUUAAUUUUAUGUCAUCAUACGUCAGGGAGAAGUUAAGGUUUAUUACUUAAAUGCCCAUUUCUAGUCCAUGUCCCAAAAUUCAGAUUCAGGGUACACUGGAAGCUGUGUCUUUGGAAGUUGCUUUGAUGGUGGGGCCCCAGACACUAAUUUGUAGGUCAUUGCUGUUGUUUCACAGGUGCCUGUGGAGGCACAAAGGGGUAAGCUGAUGGGCAAUUGCAGCUCUCCCUUCUAGUUCUGAGACUUCUCUCCUGUCUAGCAGGCAACAGUCAUGUUGUGUUUGUUUGGAGAAAAAACAUGGUUCCUUUCCACCUGGGCAUACCCUUCUCAAGCUGAAAUGGCUGCUCUUAUUGCUGUGUCCUACUUCUGAGGGGCCAGCCUGGCCAAGGAGUAAAUGACAAAGAAAACCACCAGCAUCUCAACGACCACCACUCAAGCAACAGUUCUUCUUAUGGUAAUUGUCUUCUAUGUUCUGGGUUCCUUAAAUCUAUGAUCUUUGAAAUUCAUAGCAACCACAAGAAGGGAUAUUAUACUACUCACUUUACACCCAAGGAAACAGGAACUAACUCAACAUGAUCACAUAGCUUCUGAGCACCAAGCUAGGAUUAUAACCCAGAGCCAUCUGAGUUCAAAACCUUUCCAUCUUUUGCUGGUGCCUCUCUAAUCCUACUUUCUUUGUAAAGGCUCAGCAAGAUGAGAUGUGGUCUGUGAAAUUCAUAAAGACCAUCAUACCAUAGUUCAAACACCUCUGAAGAAUCCCUAUCACUUACAGAAUGAAGUCCAAUUGUUCUGCCUUUCAGUCACUUCCUCUUCCCAGUUACAUUCCCUGCUAUUCACCCCCAAACAGACCUUAAACCUUAGCCAAAUGUAAAUAUUCAUAAUUCCCUGUAGUGUCAUCAAUUUUUCUCACUCUAUGCUUUUGAUCAGGCAGCCCUAGCUUCAAACAGCCCACUGUUUUCUCUAACAACUACCUAAAAUCCUCCCCAUCUUUAAAGAUCUGAAAUCAGAUAUCACCUCCAUGAAGCCAUUCCUGAUUCCCAAAACUUAAUGUGAACUUUCCCUCUUUUUGACAUGGCAAUUCUAUUUCGAUCCUUUAAAGCCCUGAUUGCACAUUGCCGUAGUACACCCAUCUGCUUAUAGAAGAGCAAGUUGUCCCAGAAGCCCAGAUCUUUCUUGUGCUUUGGAUCCAUAUAUCCUGCUGCCUACUAAAUAUUUCCCCUUGGGAAUUCCAUAGGUGUCUCAACCUCAGUGCAGCUGGAACUGAACUCCUAAUGUCGUUCACAAACUUGUGCCUCCCCCUAUCUCCGUAAAUGACCCUCCUUCACCCAUUUGCUCAAGCCAGAAAUAUGGGUAUCAUCACUGACCCUUUUUUCUCUAUCAUUUGUCGCAUCCAGUCAAUCAUUUAAUCCUAUUGCAUCUAUUGCCUAAAUAUGUCUCAAAUCUAAUAUAUUAUGUCCAUUUCCACUGUAAUUUCCCAAGUCCAGGUGACCAUCAUUUGCCAACCAGAUUACCAUAGCAGCUGUCCUUCUAAUUAACCUCCAAACUUUCAGGUUUCCUUCAUCCAAACUGACUCUCACUGCUUGAGUCUGAGGGAGGCUUUAAAAAUGCAAAUCUGACAUGUUACUCUCCUGCUCAGAAGACUCUCCUGCUCAGAAAUUGCCCUUAGGAUAAAAUCUAAACAAAUGGUUUAUGUGCCUUUUCUUUGGGUGCCUCUUUUAUACCUCUCUAGCCAUAUCUUUCACAGUUUCUCCCUCUUGCCCUUUAUGCUUUGGCCGUUCUACACCCAAUUCGGUUCCUCAGAUAAGCACUGUUCCUUCCCACAUAUUGUUUUCUUUACCUCUAAGGAUGUGCUCCUUCUGCCCCUUCCCCAGUGCAUACGUUUUUGCCUGGCUCCUCCUCUGCUCUAUCCCAGGUUAGAUAUAACUUCUGAGAAGCUUUCUCUGACCUUAUAAAGACUGAAUUUGGUGUUCUCCAAUGUCCUCUAUAACUCUCUCUACUCCCUAAUCACAGCAAAGUGUUAGAAUUGCUGCUUUCAUGGCCUAUCUCCCUCACUAUACUGAUUAGAACAUAUCCAUUAAAACUUGGAUAUCCAUGGAAUUCUUUCCUGCAAAAUAUUUGGGGCUCCAUAGAAUUAUGAACCUCUAUGGAGCCUGGCGCAUAGGAGGUGUACUAAAUACUUGUCUUUUGUUUAUUUGAGAAGAAAACAGGUAUUUCCAAUGUUAAGUGUUUGCAACUAAUCACAUAGAUUAUUAGAGAUAUUCUUGAGUCUUUUGAUUUCCAUGUUUUCUUUUUUUUUUGGUUGUUAAAUUAAUACUGUCUUGGUGGCAAGCAAGGGUUAAUAGCUAUUUAAGGACCCAGGGAAAGUACGAAAGAACAUGUCUCUGUUCACAAUGACAUUAAUUUAUAAGGAAGGGUUGGAGGAGCAAGCCAAUCAAAUACUGGAUGCCAAAUUACCAUAUAUCACACAAUUUACGAGGCAGUCAAAAGUGUUAUUAAAUUAGAGACCAGAACAACCUUCUUAAUUCAUCCUUAUGACAGUGAUUGUAAUGACUCUAAGAACCUGGUUUAACCUGAGUUCAUUUUAUGAAAGGUCUUUCAUUUUUAAACAUUACAUUUAUUGAAUUUUAAAGAAAGCUUGCCUUAAAAUGCAUACAGUUAAAACAUAAUAAAAAUGCCUCAAUAAUCAAUCUACAUUCACUACCUGAGGGAUACAGUGGAUUCCGUUUUUCAAAAAUCUGGUGUUGAUGUAUUUUUUUCUUUUUCUCUGUAAAACAGAAUCAUUAAUCUUCAGAUUUCACCAAAGUAGUCCUGCUAUUUUUUUUUUUUUUUCCUGUUUUAUGCUCUUAUGCCCCGGCAUCUUUCAGUAGAUUCUAGUUUUUCUAUUCUGAUAACUCUGGCCAAUAGUGGGCCCCUCCUUAAUCCUUCUGCUUUGCAGGUGAAGCCAAUGCUAUACAAUCCAAGAAGAGCCUUGGUCAGGGAUGAGGGCUUACUAUUAUCAGUGUUUUGGGUCUCACUGAUCCCAGGCCUUAUGGACUCAUGUGAAAAUCACAAGUACAGCAUCACUUUUACCUCCAUUGUUGGCUCCUAAGGGUCUGGGACACUGUUGGAUGAAGUAAACUUGCGUGGCUCCCUACUCCAACCUCCAGCCCCCAGCUCUAAGCACGAAGUGGUUGCUCAAUAACUCUUAUGGCAUGAGUAAGGAAAUACUUUUAUUUUUUUAUUUCUUGACUUUUAUGAUCCACUAGUUUAUGCUCUCAAUUCAAGAUGGACACAGAUAAGAACAACCUAUGGCACAUUCUUUUCAUUGGGGCUGUCCUGCCCAGGGCGUUGUCAUAUUUGGGUAGAGUCAGUAGGGCAGGAUGCAGCUCUGCCAAAGCUCAUUAAAUGGCAGUGAGAACAGCAUCUUGGUGUGCUGUGUGCCCUGGCCUUAGUUCUCAGAGCAGUUGGCUCUCUUAGUGGCAUCCAGUCAACCAAUGGUGGCAGAGUUUCUUCCACUGUGAUGGGGUAGCUUUUUGUCUUCUGCAAAAGCUGGACACCCUGGAGAACAAAGUAGCUUCCAGGAUCUCGGAUGAGCCUCUCUCCUAAAAGGGCACAUUUCUAAUGGCCCUCAAGUUGGGCCAUGGGUCCUGAGGGGACCUGGUACCAACUAGGUUAGAUUGUGGCCAUGUGAUUGAUAAGCGUUAAAUAAACAUGGAGAAACCAAGCAUAUGCCCAGUGCAUAAGAAACACCUAAUAAUUGUCACUACCCUUUCCUACUGUUCUUUCACCCACUUCUGGAUCCAUGCCACUUUGUUCCCUUGGAGAUGUCACUUGGCUUUUGGUUGGGGGGAUGGGGAAAGCAGGGAACCAAGAAAGAGUCCAAAAUUGUGAUGUGUGAGCUGACCCUUGAAGACUGAAUAAGAAUUAUUCAUACAAACAAGAUUAUAAAGAUGUUUUAGGUAGAAGCAGCUACUUAAACCAAGACAAAGAGAUGAGAAAUAACAAGAAGCG
ensembl:lncRNA